rnacentral:tRNA from 1 species
GCCGACGUAGCUCAGCCGGUAGAGCAACUGAUUCGUAAUCAGUAGGUCGUAGGUUCAAAUCCUAUCGUCGGCU